rnacentral:misc_RNA from 1 species
GAUGAAGAACGCAGCGAAAUGCGAUAAGUAAUGUGAAUUGCAGAAUUCAGUGAAUCAUCGAAUCUUUGAACGCACAUUGCGCCCGCCAGUAUUCUGGCGGGCAUGCCUGUCCGAGCGUCAUUUCAACCCUCGAACCCCUCCGGGGGGUCGGCGUUGGGGAUCGGCCCCUCACCGGGCCGCCCCCGAGAUCCAGUGGCGGUCUCGCCGCAGCCUCUCCUGCGCAGUAGUUUGCACACUCGCACCGGGAGCGCGGCGCGGCCACAGCCGUAAAACACCCCAAACUCUGAAAUGUUGACCUCGGAUCAGGUAGGAAUACCCGCUGAACUUAAGCAUAUCAAUAAGCGGAGGA